GCCCCCAUCGUCUAGCGGCCCAGGACGCCACCCUUUCAAGGUGGAGAUCAGGGGUUCGAAUCCCCUUGGGGGCACCA
rnacentral:tRNA from 1 species